rnacentral:lncRNA from 1 species
UCUGAUAUCUGAGGUGAGUGAAGUCUCGACAAACUAUCACGGACAUAGAAAUACAGACUCGAGAUUUAACAAGAAGUUCAAGAAGAACUGGCAAGAAGUAGAUUAAUCAGAUGAAUACAAGAACAACACCAGAGAGGUGAGCUAGAGCUCCAAGAGAUGUGUUGUCGAGACUAAAGAACUCUUCAACCUUGAUUCCAAUAUAUACUCCUAUUUAGGAAGCUUCUCAAGCAACUUCUACCAACUAAAAAACUUCUAGAAG